rnacentral:rRNA from 1 species
CGGGUGAGUAACGCGUGAGGAACCUGCCUCAAAGAGGGGGACAACAUUGGAAACGACUGCUAAUACCGCAUAAGCCCACAGCUCGGCAUCGAGCAGAGGGAAAAGGAGCAAUCCGCUUUGAGAUGGCCUCGCGUCCGAUUAGCUAGUUGGUGAGGUAACGGCCCACCAAGGCGACGAUCGGUAGCCGGACUGAGAGGUUGAACGGCCACAUUGGGACUGAGACACGGCCCAG